rnacentral:lncRNA from 10 species
GGUUCAAGUGAUUCUCCUGCCUCAGGCUCCCCAAUAGUUGGGACUACAGGCGUGCAUCACCACACCUGACUAAUUAUUUAUUUAUUUAUUUAUUUAUUUUUUAGACAGAGUCUUGCUCUGUCGCCCACUCUGGAGUGCAGUGGCACGAUCUCGGCUCACUGCAACCUCCGCCUCCCAGGUUCACGCCAUUCUCCUGCCUCAGCCUCCCGAGUAGCUGGGACUACAGGGUUUCACCGUGUUAGCCAGGAUGGUCUCGAUCUCCUGACCUCGUGACCCACCCACCUCGGCCUCCCGAAGUGCUAUUAUAGGCGUGAGCCACCGUCCCCAGCCAACAAUGCCCUUUAUAUGUGCUCUGUGUUCAGGACCCUGGCAGGAAACACUCGAAUUGGGUGAUUUGAGGAGAUUGUGGUAAGGGGACAGUUUACAAAGCUGUGGGCAUGUAUAGGAAAGCGCAAGGGAUAGGACAGGGUGCCGGGCUAUUUAUAGUGAUAUUCACCUCUGGCCUGAUACUGGGAGGAGAGGGGGUGCUCCCUGGGACAAGACCCUGUGGAUGAGGCUUCCUGACAAGGGGAGACUGUGACCGUGCUCCCUCCUACCAGAGCUCCCUACUGGCCCAGCCCAAGCAGAAACAAGAGCCCAUUCACGUCCAUUCGUGUCAUCUCCCACCGCCCAGUGCAGAGUGGAGAAAAGGUCUGGAGAAGCCAAUGAAGAUAGAUAACUGACACAUUAACGCCAUUUCCCCACCCCAGCUUUCCAAAAGAGGGCCGGAGGCACCCCACAGAAAAGGACUGCUCGCUCAAGCCACAUGACGGGUGCUGAGGACAAGAGAAAGACAGCUAAGUCCCCAUGCUAAGGGGCAGUGCUAGAUUGGAGCUUCACAGUAGGCCGUCAGCUUCCUGGCAGCCUGGCCAAAAUGGGAAACUUAAGGCCAGUUAAUUUCUU